UGCGGGGUAGAGCAGCCUGGUAGCUCGCAAGGCUCAUAACCUUGAGGUCGUGGGUUCAAAUCCCACCCCCGCAC
rnacentral:tRNA from 3 species